rnacentral:rRNA from 1 species
AUGAGUGCAGUGUUACAAUUCUAUUUAAUUAUCGCAGGCAAGUCUACACUUGCAGAUUCUCUUAUAGCAGCUGCUGGGAAUAUUGGACAGGAAGGUGCUGUUGAUGCUCGCAUGACUGAUACUCGUGCAGAUGAAGCAGAGCGUGGUAUUUCAAUCAAAUCCACUGGCAUCUCUCUUUUGUAUGAUAUGCACGAUGAGUCACUCAAGGCUUACAAAGGUGAGAGAGAUGGGAACAGAUUCUUGAUCAACCUUAUUGACUCACCUGGGCAUGUUGAUUUUUCUGCGGAAGUCACAGCUGCUCUUCAUAUUACCGAUGGUGCUAUGAUAAUUGUUGACUGCAUCGAGGGUGUCUGUGUGCAAACUGAAACCAUGCUCCACCAAGCCCUUGGUGAGAUGGUUAGGCCUGUGCUUUGUCUGAACAAGAUGGACCAACUAUUCCCUGGGCUUCAAGGUGAAGGAGUGAAGCGUAAAUUGAAUGGUGAGCAGGUCUAUCAGAUUCUCAACAAUGUCAUUCAGAAUGCCAGUGACAUUGUUUCAGCAUGUGGAAAUGGAACUCCCCACCUUGGUGAUGUCCAAUUCUACCCUGACAAGGGAAAUGUGGCUUUCACUGCUGGUAUACAUGACUGGGCUUUUACACUUCCUACCUUUGCUAAGAUAUCUGCCCCAAUAUUAGGGAUGGAAGAAUCCCAAAUGGUUACGAAGCUGUGGGGCGACAACUUUUAUGACCAGGUCACAAAGAAAUGGACCAAUGUGAAGACUGGCUCUAAAACUUGUCAAAGAGGGUUUGUCACGUUCUGCUAUAAUAAAAUUAAGGAGGUGAUACAAGCCUGCAUGGAUAACCAGAAAGAUGAAUUGUGGCGAAUGUCGCAGAAGUUUGGCGUGAGCAUUAACGAUGAUGAUAAGAACUUAUCAGGCGUGGCUCUUGUGAAGCGUGUUAUGCAAACAUGGCUGCCAGCCAGCAGUGCUCUGCUUGAGAUGAUGAUAUUCCACCUCCCCUCGCCUCUGAAAGCACAAGAGUAUCGUGUGGAGAACUUGUAUGAGGGCCCCCUUGAUGACAUUUACGCUGAAGCUAUUAAAAAGUGUGAUCCAGAAGGUCCUCUUAUGAUGUAUGUCUCCAAGAUGAUCCCAGCGUCUGACGUGGGCGGAUUCUUUGCAUUUGGUCGUGUCUUCUCAGGGAAGGUAGAAACUGGAAAGAAGGUGCGGAUAAUGGGGCCUUCCUAUGCCUCUGGUGUAUGUGAAGUGUGUUGA